rnacentral:rRNA from 1 species
CAGUCGCCACGGUAAUACGAAGGGGGCUAGCGUUGCUCGGAAUCACUGGGCGUAAAGGGUGCGUAGGCGGGUCUUUAAGUCAGGGGUGAAAUCCUGGAGCUCAACUCCAGAACUGCCUUUGAUACUGAAGAUCUUGAGUUCGGGAGAGGUGAGUGGAACUGCGAGUGUAGAGGUGAAAUUCGUAGAUAUUCGCAAGAACACCAGUGGCGAAGGCGGCUCACUGGCCCGAUACUGACGCUGAGGCACGAAAGCGUGGGGAGCAAACAGGAUUAGAUACCCCUGUAGUCCCUGUCUCUUAUAC